rnacentral:rRNA from 1 species
AUUGAACGCUGGCGGCAGGCCUAACACAUGCAAGUCGAGCGGAUGAAGGGAGCUUGCUCCUGGAUUCAGCGGCGGACGGGUGAGUAAUGCCUAGGAAUCUGCCUGGUUGUGGGGGAUAACGUCCGGAAACGGGCGCUAAUACCGCAUACGUCCUGAGGGAGAAAGUGGGGGAUCUUCGGACCUCACGCUAUCAGAUGAGCCUAGGUCGGAUUAGCUAGUUGGUGGUGUAAAGGCCUACCAAGGCGACGAUCCGUAACUGGUCUGAGAGGAUGAUCAGUCACACUGGAACUGAGACACGGUCCAGACUCCUACGGGAGGCAGCAGUGGGGAAUAUUGGACAAUGGGCGAAAGCCUGAUCCAGCCAUGCCGCGUGUGUGAAGAAGGUCUUCGGAUUGUAAAGCACUUUAAGUUGGGAGGAAGGGCAGUAAGUUAAUACCUUGCUGUUUUGACGUUACCAACAGAAUAAGCACCGGCUAACUUCGUG